AAUGCAGCAACGGGGAGCCAGGGGCAUGCUGGGGAAGAGCAUUCCAGCAGAGACAUGGACACGUGCGAAGGCCCCGAGGUAGGGACGAGCUUUGGGAACACGAGGCAUGUCAGGAAGGCCGGGGCCCCGAGGGAGUGAAGACCAGGCGAGUGGGAGGGCCUGAGCACAACAGACGUGCACACGGUGGCCUCCCUGCUGAAGCUGUACCUGCGGGAGCUCCCCGAGCCCGUGGUCCCCUUCGCCAGGUACGAGGACUUCCUCAGCUGCGCCCAGCUGCUCACCAAGGACGAGGGGGAGGGCACUCUGGAGUUGGCUAAACAAGUGAGCAACCUUCCUCAGGCAAAUUACAACCUGCUCAGAUACAUCUGCAAGUUUCUGGAUGAAGUUCAGGCAUACUCAAAUGUCAACAAGAUGAGUGUCCAGAAUCUGGCAACCGUUUUUGGACCUAACAUUCUGCGGCCACAGGUAGAGGACCCAGUAACCAUCAUGGAAGGUA
rnacentral:lncRNA from 1 species